rnacentral:rRNA from 1 species
UACGAAGGGGGCUAGCGUUGCUCGGAAUCACUGGGCGUAAAGCGCACGUAGGCGGCUUGUUAAGUCAGGGGUGAAAUCCUGGAGCUCAACUCCAGAACUGCCUUUGAUACUGGCGAGCUUGAGUUCGGGAGAGGUGAGUGGAACUGCGAGUGUAGAGGUGAAAUUCGUAGAUAUUCGCAAGAACACCAGUGGCGAAGGCGGCUCACUGGCCCGAUACUGACGCUGAGGUGCGAAAGCGUGGGAGC